rnacentral:rRNA from 1 species
AUUGAACGCUGGCGGCAUGCUUUACACAUGCAAGUCGAACGGCAGCGGGGAGGAGCUUGCUUCUCUGCCGGCGAGUGGCGAACGGGUGAGUAAUACAUCGGAACGUGUCGAGAAGAGGGGGAUAACCACCCGAAAGGGUGGCUAAUACCGCAUAAAUUCUGAGGAAGAAAGCUGGGGACCUGGGAAUAGGCCUAGCGCUUUUUGAGCGGCCGAUGUCGGAUUAGCUAGUUGGUGAGGUAAAGGCUCACCAAGACGAAGAUCUGUAGCGGGUCUGAGAGGAUGAUCCGCCACACUGGGACUGAGACACGGCCCAGACUCCUACGGGAGGCAGCAGUGGGGAAUUUUGGACAAUGGGGGCAACCCUGAUCCAGCCAUGCCGCGUGUAUGAAGAAGGCCUUAGGGUUGUAAAGUACUUUUGUUAGGGAAGAAAAGUCAGCUGUGAAUAAUGGCUGAUACUGACGGUACCUAAAGAAUAAGCACCGGCUAACUACGUG